rnacentral:rRNA from 1 species
CUACGUGCCAGCAGCCGCGGUAACACGUAAGGGGCGAGCGUUGUUCGGAAUUAUUGGGCGUAAAGGGCAUGUAGGCGGUUGUGUAAGCCUGAUGUGAAAUCCUGGGGCUUAACCCCAGAAUAGCAUUGGGUACUGCAUAACUUGAAUUACGGAAGGGAAACUGGAAUUCCAAGUGUAGGGGUGGAAUCUGUAGAUAUUUGGAAGAACACCGGUGGCGAAGGCGGGUUUCUGGCCGAUAAUUGACGCUGAGAUGCGAAAGUGUGGGGAUCGAACAGGAUUAGAUACCCUGGUAGUCCACACUGUAAACGAUGUACACUAGGUGUUGGGGCAGGAGCUUCAGUGCCAAAGCAAACGCGAUAAGUGUACCGCCUGGGGAGUAUGCCCGCAAGGGUGAAACUCAAAGGAAUUGACGGGGGCCCGCACAAGCGGUGGAGCAUGUGGUUUAAUUCGACGCAACGCGAAGAACCUUACCAGGUCUUGACAU